CACGUAGGCGGCUAUUCAAGUCAGAGGUGAAAGCCCGGGGCUCAACCCCGGAACUGCCUUUGAAACUAGAUAGCUUGAAUCCAGGAGAGGUGAGUGGAAUUCCGAGUGUAGAGGUGAAAUUCGUAGAUAUUCGGAAGAACACCAGUGGCGAAGACGGCUCACUGGACUGGUAUUGACGCUGAGGAGCGAAAGCGUGGGUAGCGAACA
rnacentral:rRNA from 1 species